CGGUAGUUAGCUGGGCCUCAGCCUCCUUCUUUCCCUCCUCAGCCUGCGUGGCCUUGGCCUAGGCCACUCGUACUGCAUCCCCGUAGUGCAUCGCUUCCUCGAGGCGCUUGGCGAGGUCCUCCCUCUUAGAAUUCAGAUCCUUCACCAAGCCCUCAAGCUGGACGCUUGUACUCAGGACCCGAGCCACGCAGGCGCUGUUUGCAGCCACCAAAUCCUCAACCGUCCAGGAGGCGGUGUGGUCUCU
rnacentral:lncRNA from 1 species